AGCUCUGUUGUAAGUCAAGAACGAGUGUGAGAGUGGAAAGUUCACACUGUGACGGUAGCUUACCAGAAAGGGACGGCUAACUACGUGCCAGCAGCCGCGGUAAUACGUAGGUCCCGAGCGUUGUCCGGAUUUAUUGGGCGUAAAGCGAGCGCAGGCGGUUUGAUAAGUCUGAAGUUAAAGGCUGUGGCUCAACCAUAGUUCGCUUUGGAAACUGUCAAACUUGAGUGCAGAAGGGGAGAGUGGAAUUCCAUGUGUAGCGGUGAAAUGCGUAGAUAUACGGAGGAACACCAGUGGCGUCGACGCGGCCG
rnacentral:rRNA from 1 species